rnacentral:rRNA from 1 species
AUUGAACGCUGGCGGCAGGCCUAACACAUGCAAGUCGAACGGUAACAGAAAGCAGCUUGCUGCUUUGCUGACGAGUGGCGGACGGGUGAGUAAUGUCUGGGAAACUGCCUGAUGGAGGGGGAUAACUACUGGAAACGGUAGCUAAUACCGCAUAACGUCGCAAGACCAAAGAGGGGGACCUUCGGGCCUCUUGCCACCGGAUGUGCCCAGAUGGGAUUAGCUAGUAGGUGGGGUAACGGCUCACCUAGGCGACGAUCCCUAGCUGGUCUGAGAGGAUGACCAGCCACACUGGAACUGAGACACGGUCCAGACUCCUACGGGAGGCAGCAGUGGGGAAUAUUGCACAAUGGGCGCAAGCCUGAUGCAGCCAUGCCGCGUGUAUGAAGAAGGCCUUCGGGUUGUAAAGUACUUUCAGCGGGGAGGAAGGGAGUAAAGUUAAUACCUUUGCUCAUUGACGUUACCCGCAGAAGAAGCACCGGCUAACUCCGUG